rnacentral:tRNA from 1 species
CGGGACGUAGCGCAGCCUGGUUAGCGCGUUUGACUGGGGGUCAAAAGGUCGAGAGUUCGAAUCUCUCCGUCCCGACCA